GCGCUCACUUCAGCAGCACGUGGACUGAAGUGGAAACGAUGUGGAGAUUAACAUGGCCCCUGCGCUAAGGGACACACACAUUUGUGAAGCAUCUCACGUUUUU